rnacentral:rRNA from 1 species
UACAGAGGGUGCAAGCGUUAAUCGGAAUUACUGGGCGUAAAGCGCGCGUAGGUGGUUUGUUAAGUUGGAUGUGAAAUCCCCGGGCUCAACCUGGGAACUGCAUUCAAAACUGACAAGCUAGAGUAUGGUAGAGGGUGGUGGAAUUUCCUGUGUAGCGGUGAAAUGCGUAGAUAUAGGAAGGAACACCAGUGGCGAAGGCGGCCACCUGGACUGAUACUGACACUGAGGUGCGAAAGCGUGGGGAGCAAACAGG